rnacentral:lncRNA from 1 species
GUUCAAAGGGAUCGGUACCAGAUCUUCAAUUGGAAUGCCCCUCUCUUCAGUGAGGUCGUCGCGAGCAUCCAGUCCAUCGACUGGACAGGGGUCAGAUUGGUCGCUUCUUUGCAAGGCUAGGUUGUAGCAGUGUCUGACCAGGGCUUGGUCUCCUUGGACCUCUUCGAUCCCCUGGUUGGUGAAAAAUUUCAACUUCAAAUGGUAGGUUGAUACGAUGGCUCGGAGAGCGUUGAGGCCAGAUCGGUCGAGGAUUGCGUUGUAGGCUGACGGCACCUUCACCACCAGGAAAUUCACCAGAGCCCUGGAUUGCCUUGGAUAUCGACCUGCGGCCACAGUCAAAGUUAUUAUUCCCUCCACCGGAACAGCGUCGCCGGUAAACCCUACCAGAGGGGAGCUAAUCGGCCUCAAAUGGCC